AGAGUUUGAUCCUGGCUCAGGAUGAACGCUGGCGGCGUGCCUAAUACAUGCAAGUCGAGCGAACGGACGAGAAGCUUGCUUCUCUGAUGUUAGCGGCGGACGGGUGAGUAACACGUGGAUAACCUACCUAUAAGACUGGGAUAACUUCGGGAAACCGGAGCUAAUACCGGAUAAUAUUUUGAACCGCAUGGUUCAAAAGUGAAAGACGGUCUUGCUGUCACUUAUAGAUGGAUCCGCGCUGCAUUAGCUAGUUGGUAAGGUAACGGCUUACCAAGGCAACGAUGCAUAGCCGACCUGAGAGGGUGAUCGGCCACACUGGAACUGAGACACGGUCCAGACUCCUACGGGAGGCAGCAGUAGGGAAUCUUCCGCAAUGGGCGAAAGCCUGACGGAGCAACGCCGCGUGAGUGAUGAAGGUCUUCGGAUCGUAAAACUCUGUUAUUAGGGAAGAACAUAUGUGUAAGUAACUGUGCACAUCUUGACGGUACCUAAUCAGAAAGCCACGGCUAACUACGUGCCAGCAGCCGCGGUAAUACGUAGGUGGCAAGCGUUAUCCGGAAUUAUUGGGCGUAAAGCGCGCGUAGGCGGUUUUUUAAGUCUGAUGUGAAAGCCCACGGCUCAACCGUGGAGGGUCAUUGGAAACUGGAAAACUUGAGUGCAGAAGAGGAAAGUGGAAUUCCAUGUGUAGCGGUGAAAUGCGCAGAGAUAUGGAGGAACACCAGUGGCGAAGGCGACUUUCUGGUCUGUAACUGACGCUGAUGUGCGAAAGCGUGGGGAUCAAACAGGAUUAGAUACCCUGGUAGUCCACGCCGUAAACGAUGAGUGCUAAGUGUUAGGGGGUUUCCGCCCCUUAGUGCUGCAGCUAACGCAUUAAGCACUCCGCCUGGGGAGUACGACCGCAAGGUUGAAACUCAAAGGAAUUG
rnacentral:rRNA from 1 species